rnacentral:rRNA from 1 species
CCUACGGGAGGCAUCAGUGAGGAAUAUUGGUCAAUGGCCGAGAGGCUGAACCAGCCAAGUCGCGUGAGGGAAGACGGCCCUACGGGUUGUAAACCUCUUUUGUCGGGGAGCAAAGAGAGUCACGUGUGACUCAUUGAGAGUACCCGAAGAAAAAGCAUCGGCGAACUCCGGGCCAGCAGCCGCGGUAAUACGGAGGAUGCGAGCGUUAUCCGGAUUUAUUGGGGUUAAAGGGGGCGCAGGCGGAGGUGCAAGUCAGCGGUAAAAUUGCGGGGCUCAACCCCGUACUGCCGUUGAAACUGCAUGCCUUGAGUGCGCGAGAAGUAUGCGGAAUGCGUGGUGUAGCGGUGAAAUGCAUAGAUAUCACGCAGAACUCCGAUUGCGAAGGCAGCAUACCGGCGCGCAACUGACGCUGAUGCACGAAAGCGUGGGUAUCGAACAGGAUUAGAUACCCGUGUAGUC